rnacentral:rRNA from 1 species
AUUGAACGCUGGCGGCAGGCCUAACACAUGCAAGUCGAGCGGAUGAGGAGGGCUUGCUCUUCGAUUCAGCGGCGGACGGGUGAGUAAUGCCUAGGAAUCUGCCUGGUAGUGGGGGACAACGUUUCGAAAGGAACGCUAAUACCGCAUACGUCCUACGGGAGAAAGCAGGGGAGCUUCGGGCCUUGCGCUAUCAGGUGAGCCUAGGUCGGAUUAGGUAGUUGGUGAGGUAAUGGCUCACCAAGGCGCCGAUACGUAACUGGUCUGAGAGGAUGGUCAGUCACACUGGAACGGAGACACGGUCCAGACUCCUACGGGAGGCAGCAGUGGGGAAUAUUGGACAAUGGGCGAAAGCCUGAUCCAGCCAUGCCGCGUGUGUGAAGAAGGUCUUCGGAUUGUAAAGCACUUUAAGUUGGGAGGAAGGGGAGUAAGUUAAUACCUUGCUGUUUUGACGUUACCGACAGAAUAAGCACCGGCUAACUCUGUGCCAGCCGCCGCGGUAACAC